CAUCAAGAAGCUAUGCAGCGUUAACCUUUUAAGUUAAAGACUGAGAGCAUAAUCCUCUCCUUGAUGGC
rnacentral:tRNA from 3 species